rnacentral:rRNA from 1 species
ACGGGGUGCAGCAGGCGCGAAACCUCUACAAUGCGCGAAAGCAUGAUAGGGGGACUCCAAGUGACAUCAUUCGAUGUCUUUUCUCUACUUUAAAAUCGUAGGGGAAUAAGAGCUGGGUAAGACCCGUGCCAGCCGCCGCGGUAAUACGGGCAGCUCUAGUGGCAUUCACGAAUAUUGGGCCUAAAGCGUACGUAGCCGGUCCUACAAGUUCCUUGUGAAAUCCUAUGGCUUAACCAUGGGAAGUGCAAGGAAAACUGUGGGACUUGGAGCCGGGAAGGGUCGGAGGUAUUCCUUGGGUAGGGGUGAAAUCCAGUGAUCCUUGGAAGACCAACGGUGGCGAAGGCGUCCGACUAGAACGGGCUCGACGGUGAGGUACGAAAGCUAGGGGAGCGACCCGGAUUAGAUACCCGGUUAGUCCUAGCCGUAAAUGAUGCAGGUUUGGUGUAACAAUCCUUACGUGGGAUUGUUGUGCCGUAGGGAAGCCGUUAAACCUGCCGCCUGGGAGUACGUCGCAAGAC